UACCAGCACCCCGAGCGGUCGGGACGUUUAUUGGGCCUAAAGCAUCCGUAGCCGGUUCUACAAGUCUUCCGUUAAAUCCACCUGCUUAACAGAUGGGCUGCGGAAGAUACUAUGGAGCUAGGAGGCGGGAGAGGCAAGCGGUACUCGAUGGGUAGGGGUAAAAUCCGUUGAUCCAUUGAAGACCACCAGUGGCGAAGGCGGCUUGCCAGAACGCGCUCGACGGCGAGGGAUGAAAGCUGGGGGAGCAAACCGG
rnacentral:rRNA from 1 species